GAUGAACGCUGGCGGCGUGCCUAAUACAUGCAAGUCGAGCGAACGGACGAGAAGCUUGCUUCUCUGAUGUUAGCGGCGGACGGGUGAGUCACACGUGGAUAACCUACCUAUAAGACUGGGAUAACUUCGGGAAACCGGAGCUAAUACCGGAUAAUAUUUUGAACCGCAUGGUUCAAAAGUGAAAGACGGUCUUGCUGUCACUUAUAGAUGGAUCCGCGCUGCAUUAGCUAGUUGGUAAGGUAACGGCUUACCAAGGCAACGAUGCAUAGCCGACCUGAGAGGGUGAUCGGCCACACUGGAACUGAGACACGGUCCAGACUCCUACGGGAGGCAGCAGUAGGGAAUCUUCCGCAAUGGGCGAAAGCCUGACGGAGCAACGCCGCGUGAGUGAUGAAGGUCUUCGGAGCGUAAAACUCUGUUAUUAGGGAAGAACAUAUGUGUAAGUAACUGUGCACAUCUUGACGGUACCUAAUCAGAAAGCCACGGCUAACUACGUG
rnacentral:rRNA from 1 species